UACGUAGGGGGCAAGCGUUGUCCGGAUUUACUGGGACGUAAAGAGCGUGUAGGCGGCCAGGCAGGUCUUGUUGUGAAAACUGGAGGCUCAACUUCCAGACGUCGACAGAAACCGCUUGGCUAGAGUCCGGAAGAGGAGAGUGGAAUUCCUGGUGUAGCGGUGAAAUGCGCAGAUAUCAGGAAGAACACCGAUGGCGAAGGCAGCUCUCUGGGACGGUACUGACGCUGAGACGCGAAAGCGUGGGGAGCGGAACAGG
rnacentral:rRNA from 1 species